UACGUAGGGUGCGAGCGUUGUCCGGAAUUAUUGGGCGUAAAGAGCUCGUAGGCGGUGUGUCACGUCGGCCGUGAAAACCUGGGGCUUAACUCUGGGCGUGCGGUCGAUACGGGCAUCACUAGAGUUCGGCAGGGGAGACUGGAAUUCCUGGUGUAGCGGUGAAAUGCGCAGAUAAUCAGGAGGAACACCGGUGGCGAAGGCGGGGUC
rnacentral:rRNA from 1 species